CAGUCCCUCCCAGUCCUUCUCAAUCCCAUUUCAUUCCAUCCCAGUUCCUCCCAGUCUCCUCCCAGUACAUCCCAGUCCAAUUCAAGCCUUUCCCAGUGCAACCUCAUCCUCUCCCAGUCCCUCCCAGUCCCAUUUCAUUCCCUCCCAGUCCAUCCCAGUCCAAUUCCAGUCCUUCCCAUCCCCUCCCAGUCCAUCCCAGUGCUCCCAGUUGUAACCAGUCUCCCUUUGCAGCACCUCCAUAUCUCUGGAUGAGGAGAAGAGCGCGGCGGCGGUGGCGGCCGUUUGCUCCUACCUGAGGCUGCAGGGGGUGAAGCCCAAGGGGGGCAGUGGAGACGCCAAGAAACCCAAAGGCCACUUCUUCCGGAAGAAGCUGCCGGGGGGGCGGAAGGCGGAGGAGGCGAAGCACAAAAAGGGAUUUUCCUUGGCGGGGGCGGCGCUGUGGGGCAGAGAUGGUGAGAAAUAAUGGGGGACCCCAUAAAA